CUGGAACAACAGACAUUUAUUUUCUCAUAGUUUUCCGGGAACCAGAGGUCCAAGAUCAAGGCUUCAGCAGCUUUAAUUUCUUCUGAGGCCUCUUUAUGACUGGCAGUUGUCCCGUGUUCUGUAUGUUGUCUGUGUCCUAACCUCCACUCCUUAUAGGGACACCAGUCCUAUCGGAUGAGGGGGUAACUUAAUGACCUCAUUUUACCUUAAUCACUUACUUAAAGGCCCUAUCUCCAAACAGUCAUAUUCUGGGGUCCUGAGGGUUAGGUCUUCAACAUACGAUUAUGGGGGACAUAAUUUAGCCAUAAAGGGGAGAUUCCCAAAAUGCAAAUAUAAACAGGCCUCUCAUUUGCAUAAGCACCUUCUGUAAAUGGAUCCCUGCAGCUUCCAGGACAAAGGUGAAGCUCCUUAGUUCCACCCCUGAGGACUCCCAAAUCUGAGGCCCUCGUCACCAUUGUGCUCAUCUCUUCUCCAUACACAAGCAUUGGAUUUCUAUGACUUCCAUUCCCUAGAUGCCACUCUAGGCACUUACUCAUUCGCUCCUUAUAACAAAUGACACACAGGACAAUGCCAAUGUCCUCUACUUCAUUGGAAGCUCCUCUACGCAAGCCCCAAGUAUUAAUUAUCUCUCAGGCCCAAAUAUCUUAUGCGAGCUCUACCAUCAAAUAGAUGGUCAAUUAGAGAUUAUUAAAUGGAAUACUUUUAAUCCAGUUUUUGCACUUUUAUGUAGCAAUAUUUACUUGGAAGCCAGCCUGGAAAGUAAGGGACAUUUACGAUGGACCUAGGUAUCUUCCUGCAGGUUUGGGGGUUUAUUUUAAUCAGUGCGUCAAUAUUCCCCAUCAGAAUAUAUGCCACUUCUCUCCACUACACUUCUCUGGAGAUGACAUUACGGGGGCAUCUGCUAUACUUUCACCAUUAACACACCUGCCUGAAGUUGCUGUGAAAGAC
rnacentral:lncRNA from 1 species